rnacentral:rRNA from 1 species
AAUUUUCCACAAUGGACGAAAGUCUGAUGGAGCAAUGCCGCGUGAGGGAUGAAGGUUUUCGGAUCGUAAACCUCUGUUGAUAGGAAAGAACAAGUAUAAUAGGAAAUGAUUAUAUUUUUGACGGUACCUGUCCAGAAAGUCACGGCAAACUAUGUGCCAGCAGCCGCGGUAAUACAUAGGCGGCAAGCGUUAUCCGGAUUUAUUGGGCGUAAAGAGUGCACAGGCGGUUUAUUAAGUCAGCUGUUAAAUACUGGGGCUCAACCCCAGUCUGCAAUUGAAACUGAUAAGCUAGAAUACAGGUGGGGGUAAUGGAAUUCCAUGUGUAGCGGUGGAAUGCAUAAAUAUAUGGAGGAACACCAGUGGCGAAGGCGGUUGCCUGAACUGUAAUUGACGCUUAAGCACUAAAGCGUGGGGAGCAAAUAGGAUUAGAUACCCUAGUAGUCCACGCCGUA